ensembl:lncRNA
GCUUGAACUAUACUGCCUGACGGACGGCUGCGGUGUGUGUGUGUGCUGCGAGUGUGAGGGACAGGGGCAUCUGGGGCACAGUACUGUACCUGUAGAGGAGGCUCGAAGACAGAUCCAGACAGAGCUGCAGAAGAAACAAGGGGACAUUAUGAAGACCGUCUCAGUGGCAGAGAAUUCCAUUGGCAAGCUACAGAGCAACACUGCAUCCAUAGAGGUUUUUCACUACACCCGCGUUACUUUGACCAUUUCCUCUGAUCUUAAUGAACCUUAAACACACAGCUGAUACAACUAAGCACCUCCUCCUCUCCUUUAAAAAAAAAAGCUCGGUGGCAGGGGUACGUGCUGUGAUGGAGCAGCAGUUCUAUC